CCAGAUAUGUGCAGGGUGCUGGGAACAGACAUCCGGAUGAGCUGUGUUUCUUGUGCUUUCCUCUGGUUGGGGAGCCUGAUGCCGAAAGGUGGUGGGUACUGGCACAGGGAUUUGCUCCUGGAGGGCCUGACCAGGGUGUGCCUGCUCUCCCUGAGUGCAAUCCCAGUGUCUUAGAAAUGGAAAAUGGGGAGUGGCCAGCCCUUUUUCUGAGGCUCAACUCCCCAAGUAGUCAGCCCAUCUGGCCUUGGGACCUUCAGUGCCACAGAGCUCACGUGGUCCCAAGUAACUCUGCAUACGCAAAGUCCAUUCUGGUCUUCCUGGAGCUGUCCCACACUGGCAUCAUUCUCAGAAUGGACUCGCAGGAAAAGUCCAUUCUGGAGUCAGGGAAUUCCUGGCAGGGUGCGGAGGCUCACUCACUGAGAGAAGCCCAGAGCGCAUUCAGUAAGGAUGUAACAGCAGAGGCCAUCAAUCCUCCUGCCCAAAGAAGCCAACUGGGGCCAACCAGAACAUCUCUGCUGCUUGCUAAGGGAAUGAGUUUGUUUUCUGGAGCUGCUGCCUAUGAUUGCAGUGGAGAAAGAUGAUCUGAAAAGUCAGCCGUGAAUUUAUUGCUGCCCAUUCUCCAAGGCAUAUCUCUUACACUGUGAAUGUUGUUAAGUUGUAGGAGAGAAAAGUGCUGUAAAGGAAUAAGGAUAUCCCUGCAUUUUACCAGGGUAUGUGGAUCAUUAACAAAAUACAGCAGCAAUUCUCAACCAGGGGUGAUUUUGCUCCCCCAGGGGAUAUUUAUCAAUGUCUAGAGACAUUUUUAGAUGUCACAACUUGAAGUUUGCUACUGGAGUCUAGUGCGUAGAGGCCAGAGAUGCUGUUGAAGAUCCUACAGUGCACAGGACGGCCCUCACAAGAAUUUUUCAACCCAAUAUGUCAACAGUGCCAAGGUUGAGAAACCCAUACACAGUAAGGCCUUAUUGACCAGAAGUUGAGAAACAGCAGUUAUAAAGACCAUGCAUGUGACUCCAGAUAAGAGGAUGCUACACCCUGUCCUGUGAAGCUAUGAAGAACCAAGAAAUGUCACGCAAACAUUACACACAGGGUGGUUUCCAGGAAGGAGAAGGCCCUCCAACCAAGCACUGUCUGGCCAUGCCUGAGCUUUUGUGCAGCCUCUUCAGGCUGGAACAGUGUCUGCGCCAGGCCCAGACAUGGUGUGCACUCAGCAGGUGGAAGUUGUUAUCCCUGGCCACCAUCAGGGAGCUGAAGUCUUUAGUGACUUGAGGAGGGAGUCAUGGACACCUGCGUGAAGACCACAGCUCCAUCACUUCUUCUCAAACAAGCUCAGUUUGGUAUAGAAACAUAUAAAUGGAGCUGAAGAGAGGCCCUUCAAUAUUCGCUUCAUCCAGGGAGUCAGGAGACAUACGAGUGGAAGUGAGGUGGCGGGUACCAGCAGAUUUGGCCUUUUCUGAAAGAACUGUGCAGGCAUGGGAAAGAGUCCUAGCAGAUGCAAUAAUAAAUUAAUAAAGAGGAGGAAAUGGGACCGCAUUUAAUUUAUUUCAUUGCAUAAGCAUGGGGGUCUCCCAUGAAUCAGAUGAAUCAGAGAAUUGCAGGGGGAGCUCCAAGGGGACAGACACUAACUUCUC
rnacentral:lncRNA from 1 species